GGAGACGUGGGUGAGUGGCUGAAACCAACGGUUUGCUAAACCGUCGUAGCGGGUAACCGCUACCGCGAGUUCGAAUCUCGCCGUCUCCGCCA
rnacentral:tRNA from 1 species